AGGGCGUAUAGUCGGCAGUGGCAGACGCGAAACCAAGUGAUCUACCCUUGGCCAGGUUGAAGGCUGGGUAACACCAGCUGGAGGACCGCACCAAUAAGCGUUGAAAAGCUUCUGGAUGAGCUGAGGGUAGGGGUGAAAGGCUAAUCAAACUUGGAGAUAGCUCGUACUCCCCGAAAUGCAUUUAGGUGCAGCCUUGCGGGUUACUGAUGUGAGGUAGAGCGACUGAUAAGAUGCGAGGGCUUCACCGCCUAUCAAGUCUUGACAAACUCCGAAUGCGCAUCAGUUCUACCGCAGGAGUGAGGGCAUGGGUGCUAAGGUCCGUGCCCGAGAGGAGAAGAAUCCGGACCACCUGCUAAGGUCCCGAAAUGACAGCUAAGUUAAACUAACGAAGUCUGACUGCUAAGACAGCUAGGAUGUUGGCUUGGAAGCAGCCAUUCAUUUAAAGAGUGCGUAACAGCUCACUAGUCGAGGAGUCGGGCGUGGAUAAUAAUCGGGUAUCAAGUUGUCUACCGAAGCAGUGGGAUCAUUGAUAUGAUCGGUAGGGGAGCAUUCCAGUCAGCGUCGAAGGCGUACCGUGAGGUAUUCUGGAGCGUCUGGAAAAGCAAAUGUAGGUAUAAGUAACGAUAAAGGGGGCGGGAAACCCCCUCGCCGAAAGACUAAGGUUUCCUGAUCAACGCUAAUCGGAUCAGGGUCAGUCGGGUCCUAAGGCUCAGCCGAACGGCGAUGCCGAUGGCAGAAACGGUUAAUAUUCCGUUACUACCUUCAGGAGUGACGUGGAGACGCAGUAGUGACAGUGCCGCCAUCUGACGGAAUAGAUGGUUGAAGGGUGUAGGAGUCGAUCAUGGCAGGCAAAUCCACCAUGAGAUCCGAACCUGA
rnacentral:rRNA from 2 species